CCCAGGCUGCUGAAGUAGUGAAGUAGUGAAGUAAAUGUGUGUUAGUAGUAUAGCAGUACGCAGCGCUUUCAGUUCAGUCCGGUUUAGUCAGUGCCGGGGUAGCUACCUUGUGAGGUCGACUGCCUGACGACAGCACCUGAAUAGUGACGUCGCGCUCUUAAAAAGGGAAAAGUUGCCCGGAUCACCGGGAACAAAACCCCUUCGUGCUCUCAGUGGUCUUGGUACAGUAAAAUUAGUUUGGGUCUUUACCCGGCAGAGAAGAAAAAACUUACAUUUUUAUAUUAAUUGUGUUCUACAUAUUCAGCAUCAAAAUGCAUCCCGCUGCACGAUGCAUUAUCUUUAUUAUUAGAGUACACGUCAAUAAUGCAACAAUAUUUGACACAUACACGAGAAAAUACGACACACAAAAACUACCAAUAGCCGCAAAAGCGUGCAACGACUGGUCAUGAGAUUGAACUAAACGUUGAUGUGCAUGAAAGGAGCACGGUGAACAAGUG